rnacentral:rRNA from 1 species
AUUGAACGCUGGCGGAAUGCUUUACACAUGCAAGUCGAACGGCAGCACGGACUUCGGUCUGGUGGCGAGUGGCGAACGGGUGAGUAAUGUAUCGGAACGUGCCCAGUCGUGGGGGAUAACGUAGUGAAAAUUACGCUAAUACCGCAUACGAUCUAUGGAUGAAAGCGGGGGAUCGCAAGACCUCGCGCGAUUGGAGCGGCCGAUAUCAGAUUAGGUAGUUGGUGGGGUAAAGGCCCACCAAGCCAACAAUCUGUAGCUGGUCUGAGAGGACGACCAGCCACACUGGAACUGAGACACGGUCCAGACUCCUACGGGAGGCAGCAGUGGGGAAUUUUGGACAAUGGGCGAACGCCUGAUCCAGCCAUUCCGCGUGCAGGAUGAAGGCCCUCGGGUUGUAAACUGCUUUUGUACAGAACGAAAAGGUUUCUACUAAUACUAGGAGCUCAUGACGGUACUGUAAGAAUAAGCACCGGCUAACUACGUGCCAGCCGCCGCAGUAA